rnacentral:sRNA from 3 species
AGGUGUGUGAGGAGCGAACCAGAAAGAAGACCGAGACGAAACACGGAAAGUCGCCGGUCUUUUUUCUGUG